rnacentral:misc_RNA from 1 species
AACCUAGCACACCUGCGGUGUGUACCUGCGGAAGGAUCAUUACUGCUUGCUCAUGGCCGCCUGGAGUUCUGCUCCGGCGCGGUACGGCAACACUACCCUUGUCUAUACAUACCUUUUGUUAUUUCCCUCGGCGGGGUCACACCCGUCGAUGGGGACACUAUAAACCCUUGUAUCUUAAGCAUCAAACUUCUGAAACAAAACAAAAUAAUCACAACUUUCAACAACGGAUCUCAGAUCGGA